ensembl:lncRNA
UCCAACCCCAGCGCUUGAGGUGGCAGAGGGGGAGCUGCCCCAUGCCUUGCUCAGAGGGGAGCGGCCUCGUUGCACUCCUCCAGCCCCUCACUACUGCCCUCCCCAAGUCACUGACCGCAGUGGGAGGCCCCACAGAGAGCUGGUCAACAGCAGGGUCAAGGUCCAGGCAGGGGGAGCUCAGAGGCAUCGGGCAGCUGAGCUGUGCCCCACACAGCACCAUGAAGCUGGGGCUGCUCUGUGCCCUCGCCAUGGCCCUCCUGGCCAUGGCCAUGGCUGACCUCAAAGACUCCAAGAAGGGAAAAAUGCUCACAUGGAACAGAGAGGCAGGGACGCGCGGCGGGGGCCGGCGCCGACCACACCAGCUGUGCUCAGGGUGUUUCUCUGUGCUGAGUGAGGAGUCCAUCACAAUGUCCCGGAGCACUGGGGACGUGGAUGAAGCUCAGGCAGGCAGGCAGGAGCGCACCAGGAGGGAAACUGAGAAACCUGCACAGCAACGCCGCAGUCACAGAGCCCAGGCAGGACAGGAAAGGAGGAGCAGCGGUGGCCAAGCACAGCCCUGCGCCAUGAUGGAGCUGGGGGUCCCACCACCCCCUGACUGCACAGCAGCCCUGAGGGGAGCCAGGGGGUCCUGCUGUGCCUCCAGCAUGAUGGGGCUGCCCAGCCGCCCCAGAGUGCUCCUGGGGGGCAGCACCCCCACCUGCCACACGAAGCUGCCAAAUAAAGCCACCAAACCAGCCUGAGGGUGUGUGUCUGUGGGGUGGGGGUGAUGGAGAGAGCCCUGUGCAGGCCCAGAUCCCCCACCUGUCCCCCCUGCUCAGCUCCUACUUUGUCCCUAUCUCUAUGGGUAAAGGCUACAGAGGGCACCGCACUUCCCCUCCAUCCAUGCCAACAGGACCCAGCAACUUCACCUGUGCCCCCCACUCAGCCUCCCCCCCAACCUGCCCUCCUGCAGUGCCCCAAAGACAGAGAGGACCCGGGUGCCCACUCCCAUGAAAUGAGGUUUAUUUGCUCAGUAGGCAGAAUGAGGAAUGGGAGAGGACUCGGAGAGGUAGGACACCUGCCCAAUUAGCCACACCUACCCAAUUAGCAUUAACAAAGGCAAGCGGCAAACCUGUUCAUCC